UGCAUCUAAAGAUGUCUAAACCUCUUCAGGUGCCAGCAUCACCUUUUGACCAGUAUGUGAUGUCCAAAUUCCUGCAGAUCAGACCACAGGUCCUCAGGGGUUUUGAGAUAGUACUAAGCAUAGUGGUGUUUGCCUUAACAAUCUGGGAAGGAUUAUUUUACAUUUUGUGGGCUUCUAUCUUUUCAUUUUUAAUCGGAUCUUUGACGGUGUUAGCUGCACACAAACGUACCAUACCAUGGAUCAGAACCUCACAAUCUCUAAACUACCUCAGUGUCAUAACAUCUAUUUUCUCUCUCCCAUUUCAUGGGUUUGCAAAUGAUGGUGUGACUCUCAUUGUAUUGAUGGUCUGUGAUGCUCUGGUCGUCGUCUUCUCCAUUACUGUUGCCUCAACUUCCUGCUGCAGGCCGAAGCGAAGACCAGUUCAAAGGCAAUACAGAGCUAGGGUUUAUCACAUGAACAGUCCUCUACCUGUUGUGACUGUCAACAAUAUUGUGUAUGUGACUCAAUCAAACUCUGCUGCAACACCAACAAUCUUCAGUUCAGUUCAGUAUGGGCAGCCAUCAGAAUAUGGACCAGCCUUUUCCAGAUGACCCUAGGACUGAAGGACAGAAGAUGAUUGGGAUCCCAGCCAAAUUAUGAACUUAAUAGUUAAUUUAUAUUAUAUUAUACUUUUUUUUUUAUAUCUGUGGUAUUAUGCUAGUACUUACAUUAAAUGUAAAUGAGAAUGAAAUGUAAAAUACUUUUUUUACUGCUCAUGCAAAAUAUUCUGGUUUAAAAUCUCACAGUUUAACAUGUUGAGAUUGGGAGGAGCAUGUUUAUAUAACUUGUCCGUAGACUUCCAUUGUAGUUGCAGAUUUUUUAUAUUAGUCAUAAAAGUAAAACAUUUAUGCAAAAAUCAUCAUGCAAGUGCUUUCAAAUGUUUGUUAUUUUAUAGCAUUUUUUUCUGAACAGCAACUAGUGUUAUAAAUAAAGGAACACAUUUCUGCUUAUUGUUUACA
ensembl:lncRNA